UACGUAGGGUGCGAGCGUUAAUCGGAAUUACUGGGCGUAAAGCGUGCGCAGGCGGUUUGGUAAGACAGGCGUGAAAUCCCCGGGCUUAACCUGGGAACUGCGUUUGUGACUGCCAGGCUAGAGUACGGCAGAGGGGGGUGGAAUUCCACGUGUAGCAGUGAAAUGCGUAGAGAUGUGGAGGAACACCGAUGGCGAAGGCAGCCUUCUGGGCCAACACUGACGCUCAUGCACGAAAGCGUGGGGAGCAAACAGG
rnacentral:rRNA from 1 species